AUGAUGGGUCCUGCGUGGUGGGCUGUGCUGCUGCUGCUGGCCAUGGCGGACGCCGUGGCGGGGAGGUUCGUGGUGGAGAAGAACAGCGUGCAGGUGACCUCGCCGGAGAGCCUCAAGGGCAAGUACGAGUGCGCCAUCGGCAACUUCGGCCUGCCGCAGUACGGGGGCACCCUGCAAGGCUGGGUCGUCUACCCCAAGGACAACAGGCAGGCCUGCAAGGAGUUCGACGUCUCCUUCAAGGGCCACAAGUCGGGAGCCCGCCCUAACUUCGUCCUCAUCGACCGCGGAGAAUGCUUUUUCACAACAAAGGCAUGGAAUGCACAACUUGCUGGAGCUGCAGCAAUUCUCGUUGUGGAUAGCAAGGACGAGCCUUUGAUCACAAUGGACAACCCAGAAGAUACUGGCACGAAGCACUUAGAAAAUAUCACUAUUCCAUCAGUGCUGAUAACAAAGAAACUGGGCGAGGACCUUAAGAAAUCUGCUGAAAAUGGUGACAUGGUUAGUGUCCUCCUGGAUUGGAGGGAAUCCCUUCCCCAUCCUGAUGAGCGUGUAGAGUAUGAAUUCUGGACAAACAGUAAUGAUGAAUGCGGUCCUAAAUGUGAUAUGCAAAUGGAUUUUGUGAAGAGCUUCAGAGGAACCGCACAAGUUCUUGAGCAGAAGGGUUACACACAGUUCACUCCUCAUUAUAUUACAUGGUAUUGCCCGGAAGCUUUUACCGUGAGCAAGCAAUGCAAAUCCCAGUGCAUAAAUCAUGGGAGAUAUUGUGCACCGGACCCAGAGCAGGAUUUCAGCAAAGGAUAUGAUGGGAAGGAUGUCGUGGUCCAGAAUUUACAUCAAGUCUGUGUAUUCAAGGUUGCCAAUGACACUGGCAAGCCAUGGUUGUGGUGGGAUUAUGUACAUGACUUUGCCAUUAGAUGCCCAAUGAAGGAGAAGAAAUACACACAUGAAUGUGCAAGUCAUGUUAUUAAGUCACUUGGUUUGGACUUGGACAAGAUAAACAAGUGUGUUGGAGAUCCUGAAGCUGAUGAGGAAAACCCAAUUCUAAAGGCGGAACAAGAUGCCCAAAUUGGUCAUGGUAAACGAGGAGAUGUCACGAUACUGCCAACCCUUGUCGUCAAUAACAGGCAAUACCGAGGUAAGUUGGACAAAGGUGCUGUGCUAAAAGCAAUCUGUUCAGGAUUUGAGGAGACAACUGAGCCCGCUAUUUGUUUGAGUGAAGAUGUUCAAACAAAUGAGUGUUUGGAGAACCACGGAGGUUGCUGGGUCGACAAGGCUAAUAACGUCACUGCAUGCAAGGAUACCUUCCGCGGGCGUGUUUGUGAGUGCCCUAUUGUCAAAGGUGUAAAAUUCGUGGGGGAUGGAUAUACCAACUGUGAAGCUUCCGGUGUUGGUAGGUGUGAGAUCAACAAUGGAGGAUGCUGGAAAGAAACUAAGAAUGGGAAGACAAUAUCUGCCUGCUCGCAUGAAGAAUCUGAAGGUUGCAAAUGUCCACAAGGUUUCAAGGGCGAUGGUGUAAAAAGCUGUGAAGAUAUUGAUGAAUGCAAAGCGAAAUCUGCCUGUCAGUGCAAUGGCUGCAGUUGCGAGAAUACAUGGGGAAGCUAUGAAUGCAGCUGUGGUGGUAACAACAUGUUAUACAUGAGAGAGCAAGACACGUGCAUCAGCAAACAAGCUGCCUCCUCAGUCGGCUGGAGCUUCAUGUGGGUUAUUUUCUUCGGACUUGUAUUUGCCGGGGUCGGAGCAUAUGCAGUGUACAAAUACAGGCUACGGAGUUACAUGGAUUCGGAGAUCCGCGCCAUCAUGGCUCAGUACAUGCCUUUGGACAGCCAAGAAGGCGCAAACCAGCAACAGCAUGUCGCGCAUGCUGGUGAUAUCUGA
rnacentral:rRNA from 1 species